GAAUGAACGCUGACGGCGUGCAUAACACAUGCAAGUCGAACGAGAAAUUUCCGCUUCGGCGGGAAGAGUAAAGUGGCGCACGGGUGAGUAACGCGUGGGUAACCUGCCCCCGAGAUCGGGAUAGGUUCGCGAAAGCGGCGCUAAUACCGAAUAUUGUCCCAGGGACUGUGGUCUCUGUGAUGAAAGAUGACCUCUCCAUGGAAGUUGUCGUUCGGGGAGGGGCUCGCGUACCAUUAGCUUGUUGGUGGGGUAAUGGCCUACCAAGGCUACGAUGGUUAGCUGGUCUGAGAGGAUGAUCAGCCACACUGGCACUGAAACACGGGCCAGACUCCUACGGGAGGCAGCAGUGAGGAAUUUUGCGCAAUGGGGGAAACCCUGACGCAGCAACGCCGCGUGAGUGAAGAAGGCCUUCGGGUCGUAAAGCUCUGUCAAGUGGGAAGAACGUCUGCCGGUGAACAGUCGGCAGGCCUGAUGGUACCACUGGAGGAAGCACCGGCUAACUCCGUGCCAGCAGCCGCGGUAAUACGGAGGGUGCUAGCGUUGUUCGGAAUUACUGGGCGUAAAGAGCGUGUAGGCGGCAAGGUAAGUCAGGCGUGAAAGCCCUGGGCUCAACCCAGGAAGUGCGUUUGAAACUGCCUCGCUUGAGUAUGGGAGAGGAGAGUGGAAUUCCCGGGUGUAGAGGCUGAAAUUCGGUAGAUAUCCGGGAGGAACACCCGUGGCGAAGGCGACUCUCUGGAGCAAUACUGACGCUGAGACGCGAAAGCGUGGGGAG
rnacentral:rRNA from 1 species